rnacentral:misc_RNA from 1 species
GAUGAAGAACGCAGCGAAAUGCGAUAAGUAAUGUGAAUUGCAGAAUUCAGUGAAUCAUCGAAUCUGUGAACGCACAUUGCGCCCGCCAGUAUUCUGGCGGGCAUGCCUGUUCGAGCGUCAUUACAACCCUCAGGCCCCCGGGCCUGGCGUUGGGGAUCGGCGGAGCCCCCCGUGGGCACACGCCGUCCCCCAAAUACAGUGGCGGUCCCGCCGCAGCUUCCAUCGCGUAGUAGCUAACACCUCGCGACUGGAGAGCGGCGCGGCCACGCCGUAAAACACCCAACUCUUCUGAAGUUGACCUCGAAUCAGGUAGGAAUACCCGCUGAACUUAAGCAUAUCAAUAAGCGGAGGA